rnacentral:rRNA from 1 species
UCCUGGCUCAGGACGAACGCUGGCGGCGUGCUUAACACAUGCAAGUCGAACGGAGUGUAGCAAUACACUUAGUGGCGGACGGGUGAGUAACACGUGAGCAACCUGCCCUGUACAACGGGAUAACACAGAGAAAUUUGUGCUAAUACGGUAUAAGACCACACUGCGGCAUCGCAGAGGGGUAAAAGCUGAGGCGGUACAGGAGGGGCUCGCGGCCCAUUAGAUAGUUGGUGAGGUAACGGCCCACCAAGUCGACGAUGGGUAGCCGACCUGAGAGGGUGAUCGGCCACAUUGGAACUGAGAUACGGUCCAAACUCCUGCGGGAGGCAGCAGUGGGGAAUAUUGGGCAAUGGAGGCAACUCUGACCCAGCAACGCCGCGUGAGUGAAGAAGGUUUUCGGAUUGUAAAACUCUUUAAGCGGGGACGAAGAAAGUGACUGUACCCGCAGAAUAAGCAUCGGCUAACUACGUGCCAGCAGCCGCGGUAAUACGUAGGAUGCAAGCGUUAUCCGGAAUGACUGGGCGUAAAGGGUGCGUAGGUGGUUUGUCAAGUUGGCAGCGUAAUUCCGUGGCUCAACCGCGGAACUACUGCCAAAACUGAUAGGCUUGAGUGCGGCAGGGGUAUGUGGAAUUCCUAGUGUAGCGGUGGAAUGCGUAGAUAUUAGGAGGAACACCGGUGGCGAAAGCGACAUACUGGGCCGUAACUGACACUGAAGCACGAAAGCGUGGGGAGCAAACAGGAUUAGAUACCCUGGUAGUCCACGCC